rnacentral:rRNA from 1 species
UACGAAGGGAGCUAGCGUUGUUCGGAAUUACUGGGCGUAAAGGGCGCGUAGGCGGCUUGAUAAGUUUGGUGUGAAAGCCCUGGGCUUAACCUAGGAAUAGCAUUGAAUACUGUCAGGCUUGAGACCGAGAGAGGGAAAUGGAAUUGCGAGUGUAGAGGUGAAAUUCGUAGAUAUUCGCAAGAACACCAGUGGCGAAGGCGAUUUCCUGGCUCGGUACUGACGCUAAGGCGCGAAAGCGUGGGGAGCAAAAGGG